UGUAGGCCUCACAGAAGAUGCCAAAGCCAGUGCUCCGUGCGGAAGAGCAGCGUGCCCUCUGGGUCGUUCUCCGGCGCGGGCGCUGCCCUCGUCCACAUCUGAGAAUGCAUGAGCUCGGGUUCUGAGCCUGGCAUCAGAAUGCACAGCACCCGUCGUCAGCCCCCUGAGAUGGCUGCACUUGAACUAGCUGUUGCUGUGGACCGGGAGCAUGCACUUCUCCCAGACUUGGUGAGGAGCCAUCUGUCCACGCUCGUGGGGCACCUCCUGUGA
rnacentral:lncRNA from 1 species